GAUGAACGCUGGCGGCGUGCCUAAUACAUGCAAGUCGAGCGAACAGGCGAGGAGCUUGCUCCUCUGACGUUAGCGGCGGACGAGUGAGUAACACGUGGAUAACCUACCUAUAAGACUGGGAUAACUUCGGGAAACCGGAGCUAAUACCGGAUAAUAUAUUGAACCGCAUGGUUCAAUAGUGAAAGACGGUUUUGCUGUCACUUAUAGAUGGAUCCGCGCCGCAUUAGCUAGUUGGUAAGGUAACGGCUUACCAAGGCAACGAUGCGUAGCCGACCUGAGAGGGCGAUCGGCCACACUGGAACUGAGACACGGUCCAGACUCCUACGGGAGGCAGCAGUAGGGAAUCUUCCGCAAUGGGCGAAAGCUUGACGGAGCAACGCCGCGUGAGUGAUGAAGGUCUUCGGAUCGUAAAACUCUGUUAUUAGGGAAGAACAAAUGUGUAAGUAACUAUGCACGUCUUGACGGUACCUAAUCAGAAAGCCACGGCUAACUACGUG
rnacentral:rRNA from 1 species